rnacentral:rRNA from 1 species
GGCUAACACAUGCAGUCGUAGCGGUACAGAGAGUAGCUUGCUACUUUGCUGACGAGCGGCGGACGGGUGAGUAAUGCUUGGGAACAUGCCUUGAGGUGGGGGACAACAGUUGGAAACGACUGCUAAUACCGCAUAAUGUCUACGGACCAAAUGGGGGCUUCGGCUCUCGCCUUUAGAUUGGCCCAAGUGGGAUUAGCUAGUUGGUGAGGUAAUGGCUCACCAAGGCGACGAUCCCUAGCUGGUUUGAGAGGAUGAUCAGCCACACUGGGACUGAGACACGGCCCAGACUCCUACGGGAGGCAGCAGUGGGGAAUAUUGCACAAUGGGCGCAAGCCUGAUGCAGCCAUGCCGCGUGUGUGAAGAAGGCCUUCGGGUUGUAAAGCACUUUCAGUCAGGAGGAAAGGUUAGNAGUUAAUACCUGCUAGCUGUGACGGUUACUGACAGAAGAAGCACCGGCUAACUCCGUGCCAGCAGCCGCGGUAAUACGGAGGGUGCGAGCGUUAAUCGGAAUUACUGGGCGUAAAGCGUACGCAGGCGGUUU